GACGAACGCUGGCGGCGUGCUUAACACAUGCAAGUCGAACGAAGUGGCGAACGGGUGAGUAAUACGUGGGUAAACUGCCCUCCUUUUUGGGAUAAGCCUUGGAAACGGGGUCUAAUACCGAAUAAGAUGGGCUGGGCUCGCGGCCUCUCAGCUUGUGGGUGGGGUGAUGGCCUGCCAAGGCGGUGACGGGUGGCCGGCCGGAGGGGGGGACCGGAGACAGUGGGACUGCGAUACGGCCCAGAGUCCGACGAGAGGCAGCAGUGGGGGAGAAGGCACGAGGGGCGAAAGCCUGAUGCAGCGCUGCUGCGGGGGGGAUGAGGGCGGUCGGGUUGUAAACCUGUUGCGCUAUCGAUCGGGUAGGUGGAGAAGAAGCGCCGGCUAACUACGUGCCAGCCGCCGCGGUAAUUC
rnacentral:rRNA from 1 species